AUGGAGGGGGCGUUUCCACGAUGAGCAUAUCGAGGCUUGCUUCAUUUAUGGGAGGAGCUGAAAAUGAUGACGUCCGAAGCCUCGCUGCCCGGCUGUACCACGUGACUGGUUCAGGAAGUGGUUCGAACUUUGCCGCGAGCUAUGACAGCGAUAUAAACCCCUCAGACUUCAUUCAAAAUGUGGGUGUUUGAUGGAGAGUUGCGGUUAGUGAGAGUUUGGAGUUUUAGGAGAGUGAGGAGAGAAAGUCAGGAGAGAAUGGAGCCAGCUAAGAAGAGGAGGAUGUCCUCCCCUGUGUGGGAACAUUUUGAUCUUAUUCCUUCCAACAAGGUGAAGUGUUUGCUAUGUGCCAGGGAGCUGGGAUAUAACAACAACACCUCAUCCAUGCUUAGGCACUACAGAGCUUUGCAUUAGAAUAAGGGGAACACCGAUUGUGGAGCAAGACCAGGAGAACAAUCUCCAAUAGAUGAAGACCUGGUUAGCAUGGUGAUUGAGGACUCCCAGCCAUUUAGUAUUGUGGAGGACAAAGGAUUUAAAAGAUUUGUUAAAUCAUUAAAUCCUAGCUAUGUUCUCCCCACUAAAAAGGCCAUAAAAGCAGUGAAAAUUUAGUUUUUACAGAUUAAAAUGUGAACAGGCAGGACUGAGGCUCAAAGCCUCAGUGUGUAGCUGUCCAUACCUCAACGUUACAAAAGCACAACCACUGUCCAUAC